rnacentral:rRNA from 1 species
AUUGAACGCUGGCGGCAUGCUUUACACAUGCAAGUCGAACGGUAACAGGCCGCCAGGUGCUGACGAGUGGCGAACGGGUGAGUAAUGCAUCGGAACGUGCCCAGUCGUGGGGGAUAACUACUCGAAAGAGUAGCUAAUACCGCAUACGAUCUAUGGAUGAAAGCGGGGGACCGUAAGGCCUCGCGCGAUUGGAGCGGCCGAUGUCAGAUUAGGUAGUUGGUGGGGUAAAGGCUCACCAAGCCAACGAUCUGUAGCUGGUCUGAGAGGACGACCAGCCACACUGGGACUGAGACACGGCCCAGACUCCUACGGGAGGCAGCAGUGGGGAAUUUUGGACAAUGGGCGCAAGCCUGAUCCAGCAAUGCCGCGUGCAGGAAGAAGGCCUUCGGGUUGUAAACUGCUUUUGUACGGAACGAAACGGCUCUGGUUAAUACCCGGGGCUAAUGACGGUACCGUAAGAAUAAGCACCGGCUAACUACGU